rnacentral:lncRNA from 10 species
UAGCUCCCUGGGCGCUUCGAAGAUCCAGCGGCUUGCUGUGAGUCCGGGAGGCAAAAUUGUACCCAUUUCAAAGAUGUGAUGACUAAAGUCUCGAGAGGGCCAAGGCUCGCCCAAGGUUGCUCUGUGGUGACAGCUUUACCUCCUUGCUAUGUAUUCUCAGAUAUUGCAAACGGACGAGAGAAAAGUGGAGGAAUGCUAGGAACACCUGAAAACAGGCCCGCGGGAGGAAAAGGGAAGAAAAAGCAUGAAUCCUGGAGAAAACAAGGUCGUUCGACGAUUUCGACACGUCGCAUCCCUGAGAGUCUCUCGUGUCCUGAUCAACUCGAGAACUGGAGGCGGUGACAUUUUAGAUGCUGCAGUGAAAGCCACAGAGCCACGGAAGGCCGAGACUCCACCAUGUUUGUGAUCUUCACAUUCAGCAAACUCACUCGCACUCUGCCUCAUCUUAUCUCUAGAAUGUAUUUUACCACACUGUGUCCCUUCUUUAGUGGGAAUGUCUUUGGCCAAAAAUAAUGAAUAGUUCUGACCUGACUUGCUAAUACCCAGUGAUAAAAGGAUGGAAUUUGUUGGGAAUAAAAGAAAACUAAGCUUACAAAC